rnacentral:piRNA from 1 species
UUAUUCAUACUUUUCGGUGAUCAUUGUCUC